UACGGGGGGGGCAAGCGUUGUUCGGAAUUACUGGGCGUAAAGGGCUCGUAGGUGGCCAACUAAGUCAGACGUGAAAUCCCUCGGCUUAACCGGGGAACUGCGUCUGAUACUGGAUGGCUUGAGUUUGGGAGAGGGAUGCGGAAUUCCAGGUGUAGCGGUGAAAUGCGUAGAUAUCUGGAGGAACACCGGUGGCGAAGGCGGCAUCCUGGACCGGCAUUGACGCUGAGGCGCGAAAGCGUGGGGAGCAAACGGG
rnacentral:rRNA from 1 species